rnacentral:lncRNA from 1 species
CCUUUGUCAUCACAUGGGGUUCUCCGUGUGUGUCUUCCUUUAAGGACACCAGGCAUAUUGGAGUAGGGGCUCGCCCUACUCCAUUAUGGCCCAAUUUUAAUGAAUUAAGCCUGCAAUGAACCUAUUUCCAAAUAGGUCACAUUCUGAGGUGCCAAGAGUUAGAAUUUCACUGUAUCUUUUUUCAGGGGACACAGUUCAAUCCAUAAUAAGAUUCUAUUUUAAAAGCACCCAGGAGGUUCUGAUGCAGCCUGCACAGGUUCCCAAAGCAUGGUUCCCGUCCUGACUGCACAGAGUUCAUCAGGAGCUCUAGAGCAACUACGUGUAUGUGUGUGGAGGUAAAGGAUCUAUUAUUGAUUGUGUUCCUUACAUUCUUGUCUUUCUCCUGAGAAUUUUGUGAAGAUUAAUAUCUGUUAGAUAAUUUUAAGUUUGCCAAAUGCCUUGAGUUCCUUGGGGGAAGAGUUGCAUAAAGGUAAAUAAAUUAUGCAGCACCUGAAUUUGGUUGUUCAUCAUUUUUUAAAGUGUAUUUUAAUUAAGAUUUUAGCACUAUUUAAGUUGGAUGGGUGGGGAAAGGCCUUAAUCAUGCAAACAUGGUUAAGUAAGUAGGUAGGAGCAGCAUGUAGGCUGGAACCCAUGAAGGGAUAAAUGAAAGGACCUCUUCUGGACGUCAGUCAUUUCCCAGGGCACUUGCUAAGCUGAGGUGUCAGUUAAUAUCUCCUCCCAUGCUUAUUACAUGAUGCUGUUAAAGAAUCAGCACAUGCUCUGCCCCCUUUAAACCUUCUUACAGACUUUUGGAUUCCUGGAACCUUUCUAGUUUUCCAGAGUUAGCUGGAAACAGUUUUUUAAAAAAAUGAGUUUGGAGUUCUUGUGGCUCAGCAGGUUAAGGAUCUGACAUUGUCUCUAUGAGGUUGCUGGUUUGAUCCAUGACCUUGCUCAGUGGGUUAAGGAUCUGGUGUUGCCACAAGCUCUGGUGUAGGUCGCAGAUGCAGCUUGGAUCUGGUGUUGCUCUGGCUGUGGCGUAGGCCUCAGCUGCAGCCCUGCUUUGACCCCUGGCCUGGGAACUUCCAUAUCCUGCAACUGUGGCUGUUUGAGCGAAAAAAAAAAAUAGAGUGUCUCACUCUCUAGGGACUCAGGGAAUAAGACUCCUGCUGACAAACUAUGCUGACUUUUGGUGUGCUGUGCUUGUACAGCCCAAGCAGCCGGCUUCUAGACUGCCUCCUUCUGCCUAUUGCACAGAGCUUUGUGUUCCAUGUGUGACACCGUCCCAAAACCACUGAAGAGUGGAGAUAAGAAACAGUUGCCAACACCCCAAGGUCCAGUCCUUCCUCCUUUGGUUUGCUGUGUUGUCAGAGUUCACCUGUAAUUUUGUUUUUGGCUUUGUUGCUCUGUGAGCAAAGAAUCACUUGAUCCUCAUUCCCAUGGCUGACCCCAAACUUGUAACCUUUUUCAGUUCAUUCACCCUAUCUAUUAAGUACCUAAUAGCUGCUAAGUCUUAGGCACUUGAGAAUUACACAGAGUUCUUGAUGCCGUGUAGCUGUCUAGUGGAGGACGAAAACAUUAAAAAAAAGUCAAGAUCAGUAGCGAAGUAGCUAUAAUUAGAUGGGGUAAAAAGAAAGAUCGCAGGUUCUUAGAGAAUAUGUAACUAGGGAACCUAUCUCUCUAGGUUUCUUAAAGAGUGACACUACAGGAUUUCCUGUCAUGGCUCAGCAGUUAACAAACCCGACUAGCAUCCAUGAGGACACGGGAUUGAUCCCGGGCCUCACUCAGUUGGUUAAGGAUCUGGCGUUGCUGUGAGCUGUGGUGCAGGUUGCAGACGUGGAUUGGAUCUCGAGUUUCUGUAGCUGUGGUUAGGCCGGCAGCUACAGCUCUGAUUCAGCCCCUAGCCUGGGAACCUGGGAACCUCCAUAUGCCCAGGCAUGGCCCUAAAAAGACAAAAAGACCAAAAAAAAAAAAAAAAAA